GAUGAACGCUGGCGGCGUGCCUAAUACAUGCAAGUCGAGCGAACAGACGAGGAGCUUGCUCCUCUGACGUUAGCGGCGGACGGGUGAGUAACACGUGGAUAACCUACCUAUAAGACUGGGAUAACUUAGGGAAACCGGAGCUAAUACCGGAUAAUAUAUUGAACCGCAUGGUUCAAUAGUGAAAGACGGUUUUGCUGUCACUUAUAGAUGGAUCCGCGCCGCAUUAGCUAGUUGGUAAGGUAACGGCUUACCAAGGCAACGAUGCGUAGCCGACCUGAGAGGGUGAUCGGCCACACUGGAACUGAGACACGGUCCAGACUCCUACGGGAGGCAGCAGUAGGGAAUCUUCCGCAAUGGGCGAAAGCCUGACGGAGCAACGCCGCGUGAGUGAUGAAGGUCUUCGGAUCGUAAAACUCUGUUAUUAGGGAAGAACAAAUGUGUAAGUAACUAUGCACGUCUUGACGGUACCUAAUCAGAAAGCCACGGCUAACUACGUG
rnacentral:rRNA from 1 species